AGAGCGACUGCCGGAAGUGGCAGCGGACAAAUCGGCGUUUGCGGAGGCUCGCAUAGAUUUGGCUGUCUCCGCUCGUAGCUGCUUUUGGCGCGAAAGAUGCCGGGUCUGGUCGACUCAAACCCUGCCCCGCCUGAGCCUCAGGAGAAGAAGCCGCUGAAGCCUUGCUGCGCUUGUCCGGAGACCAAGAAGGCGCGCGAUGCGUGUAUCAUCGAGAAAGGAGAAGAACACUGUGGACAUCUAAUUGAGGCCCACAAGGAAUGUAUGAGAGCUCUGGGAUUUAAAAUAUGAAAUGGUGAGUAUAGGUGCUCGGAGAGGUUAAGAAAAUCACCCUGAUCCAAUAGCUGGUAACCUGUGAUGCAUAUCAUAUCUCAUGACUAUGGUAACUUCAAGCAUUACAUCAUCACACAACUGUUCGAGCCUGGAUGAAAGUGUGAACCAGCAUGGACCAGUAACAAACAGUUUGAAGACCAGGCUGAGUUCAUGACCACACUUGUUGACUCUGCUGACUUCACAAGCUGGCCCCAGCCUGCCUCACCUGCCCCUUGUCUGCUGCUCCUUUUGUUCACCUACAACAAGCUGUUCUCUGUUACCAGAAUAUGCCACAUAUUUUGUUUCACUUCUGGAAUUGACUUUAUAAUCUGUUCUUUCUUCUUGGAAUGCCCUCCUCUAGCUGGGGAAAAUUUUUUAGACCAGAUUAAAAGUCACCUUCCCUGUGAUGUUUUCUCAUGAAAAAAAUAUUUUUUUAAGAGACAGGGGUCUCACUACGUUACCUAGGCUGGUCUCAAACUCCUGGGCACAAGUGGUCCUCCCACCUCAGCUUCCCAAAAUGCUAGGAUUACAGACAUGAGCCAUCACGCCCCAAUCUCAUGAAUUUUAGUUAGGUUAUGGCAGUAUAGUAAAAGUCCCUAUACAUUAAAUUAUUUGCUCCCUCAUCAGUGUUUUUUCUUUGAAUCCUAGGUACACUUGUUUUAUUGGAUUACAGUUUCUGGGUCAGUAUCCAGGAUAGACUGAAAGUUUCUUGAAGUGAUAAUUAUCUUAUUCAUCUUUAUAUCCCCUGUUCUUGGAACACAUAGUUUGUCCUGAAUAAAUAAUACCUACUGAAAUGAAUCAACUCAACAAAUG